AGCCUGAACGCUGGCGGCGUGGCUAAGACAUGCAAGUCGUACGGUGUAGCAAUACACAGUGGCGAACGGGAGAGUAAUGAAUCGCUAAUGUGCCCCGGACUCUGGGAUAGCUAGUCGAAAGAUUAGGUAAUACCAGAUGACAUAUCCUAAUCGCAUGAUUGGGAUCUCAAAGGUCCGCCGGUCUGGGAGCAGGCGAUUUUGUAUCAGCUAGUUGGUGAGGUAACGGCUCACCAAGGCGACGACGCAUAGCCGGACUGAGAGGUUGGCCGGCCUCAUUGGGACUGAGACACUGCCCAGACUCCUACGGGGGGCUGCAGUAACGAAUCUUCCGCAAUGCACGAAAAGUGUGACGGAGCGACGCCGCGUGUGGGACGAAGUCCUUCGGGAGUGUAAACCAACUGUCAGGGGUUACCGAAGUUACUGAGGAGCCCCAGAGGAAGGGACGGCGUAACUCUGCGCCAGCAGCCGCGGU
rnacentral:rRNA from 1 species